rnacentral:rRNA from 1 species
AGAAUCAACGCUGGCGGCGUGCCUAACACAUGCAAGUCGAACGAGAAAGUGGAGCAAUCCAUGAGUAAAGUGGCGACCGGGUGAGUAACACGUGACUAACCUACCUUCGAGUGGGGGAUAACAUCGGGAAACCGAUGCUAAUACCGCAUAACAUCGCAAAAUCAAAGCAGCAAUGCGCUUGAAGAGGGGGUCGCGGCUGAUUAGCUAGUUGGCGGGGUAACGCCCACCAAGGCGAAGAUCGGUA